rnacentral:lncRNA from 1 species
CAGCACACAGACUUUAGCACGUACGAGCUACACAUGCAUAAUCGCAAGAUCUACUUCAUGAAGCCCUGAGCCAUCUUGAACAGACCGCCGCCGCUCUCCUCCGCUUCAGGCUUCGGUGCAGGCUCCUUGGGCGCCUCCUCCUCCGCUUCCGGCUUCGGCGGCGCAUCGACGGCAGCAGCUGGAGGUGCCGCGGCGUCGGUAGGCUUCUCCUCGGUGCCGCCGGCGCUGUACUGCUUCAGGUACACCUCGGCCUUCUCCAUGUACUGCCCCACCGGCUUGUCCUCCAGCUUGGCGUAGGCGGAGGCGGAGUCCAGGAUCUCCGCAGAGGCGCCCGCGACCUUCUUCUUGUCCACGUUCUCCACGCUCUUCUCCUGGAACGCAGACAUGGCGGACUCCGCCACCAACUUGCCGCUCGACAUCAGGUCACCGGAUGACUUCUUGAAA